rnacentral:piRNA from 1 species
UGCAUCCUGAGAACUUCAAAC